GUUUUCUAUUGUUGUUGUGUAAUAUUUUCUUAAAUAAGGAGAAUGUUGCGUCACGACUGUGACCCAUAUAAUUAUUACUGGGUUUGUACUUACAUGAGCAUCACGACGGAUGUCACGUGUGGAGUAGAAUUUACGUACCCUUCCAUAACAGCUGAGAUCUCCCAGUUUUUGGUGGGGUUCGUGUUGCUUAGUCUUUAUUUUUU
rnacentral:lncRNA from 1 species